UAAGGGUUUGACUCUUCAAUCUCCCGACCAAGAAUCUUUUGUAAUGUUAUGGGUGUUUGACCCUUUGUGAUGAUAUUUUUGGUGAGCGAAUUCCCUUAUUGUUUUGAUAUCUACUCGGUGUUAACUUAAGCUAAAUUUCUUGUUGUUUUUCAAACAUCAUGACUUCCAACAAUCCAAAGAAGGUCGAUUGGUUUUAUAAAUUGGCGGCACAACACACAACUUCUGGGGCAAGAUCUGGCUUAGCUGAUGCUAUCUCUUUCCACCCUUCACCCUUCCAACAAACCCCGUCCUACAUUGAUGUGGAAGGGGAAAUGUUACUUAUUCUUAGGCUGCUCCCCUUGACCACAAUUUUUCCUAUUGAGCGGGGAGCCAUCAAGGAAAAAGAAAAGGAGAUGGAUAAGAAGAGAUUCCAUCGUUAAGGGGAGAAGUCUUCUUCUUCCAAGCCUCAGAAAAAGAGUUGACGGGUAGAGGGAGGGACUCUAACAAGCUUGGUGGGUGACAUCUUUGGCAUCGAGUUACACUUGGGUGUUAAGGUCUCAUUCAACCUUAACGGGGCAAAGAAAUAACUGCUAAAAAGAAUCAUUGAGCAAGAGGUUUUUGACGCCCUUGCUAAGCUUAGCGUAUAGGCUACGUUAUUAAGCACCAAAGUUACUAUUGAUGUUAACAAUGCCAAGGUUGAGCGGUUGGGGAAGGAACUGUUCGACACAAAACUAGACUUGGAUAAGGCUUUAAAGGCCAAUGUUGAUAUGGAUGCUAAGUUAAAGGCCUUUGUUACUACCCAUGUUGGCCACUAAAGAAACAAAAAAGAUCUUGAGAUCCACCUUUCAGAGGCAACUAUCGAGGAAAAGUGCCUGGUC
rnacentral:lncRNA from 1 species